rnacentral:rRNA from 1 species
UAUGGCUGUAAUGGCUAGGAGGAUACACCUGUUCCCAUCCCGAACACAGAAGUUAAUGACCUAACAGCAAUCUAUGAUUGCGUCGUAGGUCAGAU